rnacentral:rRNA from 1 species
AUUGAACGCUGGCGGCAGGCCUAACACAUGCAAGUCGAACGGUAACAGGAAGAAGCUUGCUUCUUUGCUGACGAGUGGCGGACGGGUGAGUAAUGUCUGGGAAACUGCCUGAUGGAGGGGGAUAACUACUGGAAACGGUAGCUAAUACCGCAUAACGUCGCAAGACCAAAGAGGGGGACCUUCGGGCCGCUUGCCAUCGGAUGUGCCCAGAUGGGAUUAGCUAGUAGGUGGGGUAACGGCUCACCUAGGCGACGAUCCCUAGCUGGUCUGAGAGGAUGACCAGCCACACUGGAACUGAGACACGGUCCAGACUCCUACGGGAGGCAGCAGUGGGGAAUAUUGCACAAUGGGCGCAAGCCUGAUGCAGCCAUGCCGCGUGUAUGAAGAAGGCCUUCGGGUUGUAAAGUACUUUCAGCGGGGAGGAAGGGAGUAAAGUUAAUACCUUUGCUCAUUGACGUUACCCGCAGAAGAAGCACCGGCUAACUCCGUG